rnacentral:rRNA from 1 species
AGAACGAACGCUGGCGGCAUGCCUAAUACAUGCAAGUCGAACGAACUCUUCGGAGUUAGUGGCGCACGGGUGCGUAACGCGUGGGAAUCUGCCCCUUGGUUCGGAAUAACAGUUGGAAACGACUGCUAAUACCGGAUGAUGACGAAAGUCCAAGGAUUUAUCGCCAAGGGAUGAGCCCGCGUAGGAUUAGCUAGUUGGUGAGGUAAAGGCUCACCAAGGCAACGAUCCUUAGCUGGUCUGAGAGGAUGAUCAGCCACACUGGGACUGAGACACGGCCCAGACUCCUACGGGAGGCAGCAGUAGGGAAUAUUGGACAAUGGGCGAAAGCCUGAUCCAGCAAUGCCGCGUGAGUGAUGAAGGCCUUAGGGUUGUAAAGCUCUUUUACCCGAGAUGAUAAUGACAGUAUCGGAGAAUAAGCCCCGGCUAACUCCGUGCCAGCAGCCGC